GAUGAACGCUGGCGGCGUGCUUAACACAUGCAAGUCGAACGGGAAACCUUUUAAUGAAGCUUCGGCAGAUUUAGCUGGUUUCUAGUGGCGGACGGGUGAGUAACGCGUGGGUAACCUGCCUUAUACAGGGGGAUAACAGUCAGAAAUGACUGCUAAUACCGCAUAAGCGCACCGGACCGCAUGGUCCGGUGUGAAAAACUCCGGUGGUAUAAGAUGGACCCGCGUUGGAUUAGCUUGUUGGUGGGGUAACGGCACACCAAGGCGACGAUCCAUAGCCGGCCUGAGAGGGUGAACGGCCACAUUGGGACUGAGACACGGCCCAGACUCCUACGGGAGGCAGCAGUGGGGAAUAUUGCACAAUGGGGGAAACCCUGAUGCAGCGACGCCGCGUGAAGGAAGAAGUAUCUCGGUAUGUAAACUUCUAUAAGCAGGGAAGAUAGUGACGGUACCUGACGAAGAAGCCCCGGCUAACUACGUG
rnacentral:rRNA from 1 species